UCUAAGCGACAAUUAAAAUUAAUAUAAUACUAAUAUUAUAUAAUAAAAAUACAAUAAUGAAAAUUAAUCACUUAAUGCAUAUUUUAUGUUUAUUGUGCCUCUACCAUGAAUAGACAAAAGAAAGGUCUUUUCUUUUGUAUAAUUGGAGUAACAUUAAAAUCUAAUCUUUAAAUCAGAUACAAUUUUCAUUUUUAAAACUUAUUUUGAGUUUGUUCGAUUAGUAUGGCGCGUAAUUUCUGAGUGUCGGAGUGUUUAAGUAGAUAAAGAAUACAAGAAUACGUAACUUUUCAACGUGUCAUAUAAAAAUAGAUAGUCUUUGUAAUACGAGUUAAACUUCGAAAAUGAUAGAAUUUCAGCCGACAUUUUCAUAACAAUAUUGAGCUAACAAUUUGCAGAAGAGUCUUAGGAGUCUUCUCGUAUGUAUGUAGCUUGGAAAUGCUUUUUAAUGCGAGAAGCCAAUGUGGAAAUAGGUAGUUUAUUCAAUUGAAAUAAUUUUUGCAUGAUAUGAUUAAUUCAUGUAGAAUCAUCUACACAUGACUUUGUUAGUGUUUAAGUAAUGGUAAUAGUAUUUUCACACACUUCGGUACUGAUCAUUCGUCCACUUGAUAGAUUUAUUUCAGGACAUGGAUAAAGUAUUAAAUUGCUAAUAAUUUCUAUUGAUAUUGCUUAGCUAAAGAGUGAAGAAGUAACAUCACACAUGAUGAGAUAAAAAAUGUUCUCAGAAUUAAAACAUUAAAACAUCCCAGAAUUAAAACAUUCCAGAAAAGUGAGUGCAAUAUCAAAGUUUAUUAUCCAUUUAAAUCUAGCCAGAUCUUAUUUCCUCAGAAUCUCAUUUCAAAAUAACCACCAGAUUACUUAAUGCUAGAUGUUUAGUAGUUGCAUAAAUAAUGACAACGUUUAAAUCGUUCUCUCUAAAUAAGAAUUUCAAUCUUCAAAGCAAAAUAAGACAUUUACGUAAGUCGAUCGAUGCGAAUCGCUCAGCGGUUCAUUUGAUGCAUUGGCGCGUAUCUGUUCUGAUCCGGAAAUGAUGAGAUCACGUGAUUUCGAUGGCAUUCUCCGUGACUGAUAGGAUUGCCUGCAAUGACGAUUAACAACUACUCACCGACCCAGUGGUUUUACGUAAUGUUAAGCCGUCCGGUCAGACAAUUGACAGAGAUUCUAAUUAACGUGCCUUCGCUAUGUAACACUCAAAUUUGCGUCAUUGUGGUUUCAAGUGGAAAUGCAGUUUCUUCAUACCUACUUUAAGUUUGUCGCGGAUUCGACAAUGCUGUUAAACGGCAUCGUGAAUUGCAGAUGUAGGCGACGCAAUGGUGAGAUUAGGCAGUGAUAACGACUGGUACAGUUCAAGAUAUUGCACGAGGCAAUGUAAAUUGUAUUCUUAUCAAAAGCCAUAAUUGAAAUAUGGAUAAUGUUCAACAAACUGGUUAUGACCGAAUGGCAAGAUUUAUGCAUUCAUGUAGAGUACGUAGAAACUUUCACUUAUUUUUUAUUUUCCGCGGUCCAAUUGGUUGUGACACCAGUGCUCUCAAACGCGUGAGUUUAUUUCGUUUUUUUGCCUUCUUUUAAUAACGCUGAGACAAUUGUCAAUCUUGUUUUCACAUUUUCUUUUUGCCGCAACGGUUAGCAAGAUUCCGAGAAUAUUCAAUAAUGUACGCCUUUCGAAAUUGAAUUUUAACAUUAUCAAUUGCAAUUGAUUGUCCACUGCGUCAAAAAGAUAUGUACUCAUAAGAGGUUUAGUAUUAAGAAUCCAAGUCGCACGAUAUUAAGGGGAUGCAUCCCCUAAAGAUUUAUUAAAAAAACUCAUUUGUUCCGUUGGUAAUACAGACGACUCCAGGAUUCCCUUAAUCUAAGAAGAGUUAUAUAGUUAACUUUCGAUCAAGUAAUUAAAGAUUUGGCUUUAUAUAAUUUAUUUCUGCUAUUUUUAUUUCAAGGUUCGAAUUAGCUUAUUAACAGUCCUGUUAUUUCUAUUCUUUCACGGAUCAACUCUUGGUGUGGGACAUUAAUCAGUAUUAUCGGAAAUAGUUGCGUUCACAAAGAUUGUUCCCACAUGAAAAUCAGUGAAACAAUUGAUUGAAUCGGAAAACAGUGACAAAAAAGGGAAUUUUUUAUAUCAUAAUUAUUCAUUAUUGUCUUGUGUAAUUUGAAAAAUCUCCUAAUUCCUUAUCAUACGUAAUUCAACAUCUCUUUUUACCAUCCUAACCUUGGAAAUAAAUAGGAAUGUUAAUGCAUAUGUCAUAUCUGUCUAUGAAUAAAGAUGUUUAUUUAUCGCGGUCGAGUUAGCAAAACGUUCGGUUCCGAUUUUAAUCAGUAUACGUAUAUUUUUGUUUUCCACUAAUAUAUUGUCUUUCAAGCCAUGUGAAAUAUCGUAAUUUCUUUUAUUCGUUUAAGAUUUGAUAUUUGACAUAAAGAUGAAUUUUUUUACGGAACUUAUUUCUCAGAAUUGCUUUCUGAUGAGGACAGUUCCAUUCGAAAAUAUCUUCUUGAAAGAAACUUGACGCAAAGAAAGAUCAACAUUUUAUAACAAAGUAUUAAAAUAUAAAAUUAUUCGAGUUGUGAAAGUAAUUUUAAAUCCAUUUUUAAUUUGAGUUGUUGUAACUUGAUUGUUAAGUUUACAUAGAAUUAAUAAAAAUAACAGGAAUUUAAGUAACAGUGCAAAAAAUAACAAAUCGAGAAAGUUUUAGUAAAAAUUUGGUUGUGACACCAACGCUCUCAAUCGCGUGAUUUUAUUUCGUUUUUUUGUUUUUUCUUUUAAUAACACUAAGACAAUAUUGUCGAUCUUUCUUUCACAUUUUCUUUUUAUACUGCAACAGUUAGCAAGAUCCCGAGAAUGUUCAAUAAUAUAUGUCUUUCGAAAUCCAUUUUAAUAUUAUCAAUUGCAAUUGAUUAAUUACUUUUUACAUUCGUUUAUUAGAAUGCAUCAAAUAAUAUUUUUGCUUAGACGAAUUCUAAGCUAUAAAAGCGAAUGAAAAUAUGCUAACCUUUGCGUCAGCUUGAUUAUGUUUCCUACUGCAUCAUAAAUGACACGUGGAUUUCUGUUGGCAUUAUGGACAUAAAUUAACCGGAUAUUAAACGAGAGCGAAUCUAUUAAAUUCGAAUCACAUUCAAGAUCUGCUCGAUUAGCAACUGUAAAUACCUUAGAAUACCGCAAGUAUCUACGCAUAGAUAUACAAUUUGAUUAUUAUACAGGAGUGCGUUUUAUGUGUUUUUGCAACUGAUUACAUGUAAAAAAGUUUUAAUUGAAUUUUCUUUAAUAUUAUUACGACUAACAACGCGAGCGCAUUUUACGCUGCUGCUAUCGAUACAAGAAAUUGUAAUGCUAUAUAUGUAUACUUCCAUUGAAUAUAACGAUUUGAUUAUCUACGCGAACGUCAUAAUAAUUAAUUAUCCGAGUAACUAUUUGUUAUUCGGAUGUAGUAUAUAUAUACUACUACAUAUAUUAAAAAACAGGAUAAAUAUAUAUAUAUAUAUAUAUAUUUGUCUUGCUUUUUUAGUGUUUUUAAUAAUAUGGAUUGUAACAUAUAUUCGUUAUUAAAAAUACUAAACAGACGGGACGAAUACAUGUUAUAACUAGAUUACCUAUAGAAUACAAAUGCUUUAUCAUUUUGAUUGUCAUUUCAUACAUAGCAUUCUUUUCCUUGUUAUCACAAACGAAACGGUAACAUCUAGUCUCGUACACCAACCGAUCAGCUCAAUCAUUAAAUCGAUUGUUGAAUAUAGUUUCAACCGAUUAUUGAAUGUUGCAAUAAGAUACCAUUCACGUAUCACCUACACAGUGAGUCAAGGAACUGAAAUAAAAAUAUUAGAAUUUUGAGUAUAGAAAAGUCAUUCAAGGAAGAGUUAUUUUAUUAUAAUUAAUUGUUUCUAAUGAUUACAGUAAUUAAAAAGUAAAAAUAAAAGUAAAAGUAUAAAAAGUAUAAAUGGAACCAUUAAUUGAUCGUGAACUAAUCAGACAUUUUUCAUUUAUCAUUAAUGAGGUAAGCAAUUACGGCAUAAUUGUAAAGAUAUAAUUGGCAGCUGGGUAGUUAUAUAGUCAAGUGUACAAAUUACUUCGGUGGCUUUUUAAAAGAAAUUAAACGUUAAUUUACAGAAAAAGAAAAUGUAUUUUAAUCUUCGAAAUAUUCGCCAUCAUUUUUGAUAACUUUCGACUAUUUUUUGUAUAAUUGACGAAUCUCCUCUCGAAAAAAUGAUGGUGGCUUUGAGUCGAUAAAAUCGUCGAUACAUUUGUGCAUCUCUUCUACGCUUUUAAAACAUGUAUCAGCCAGGUAAUAUUGCAGCGAUCAGAAAAUCAGAAUAGAUGCUAAUAUAAAAUAAUCCACAUGAGGGAGAAUUUCCCAGCCCACAAAUAACCGUUAUUGUACUGCAAGAUGACUUUCACUUUUACAAGUACCUUACACUUUUUAUAGGUUUUAUGCAUUACAGCAUCUUCUUCUAAAGCUGAACAAAUCACAUUUGCAGCGUCGGCAACAUUUUUUUCAAUUAGAAAGCAAGAAGAAUGCAUUGUCCGAUAUGCUGCUUAGCGGACGUCAUCGUAUUUGAUACUGUUUUGUGAAGUUAUGUUGUCAAUUUCUAAUUCCCGACUUUAUAUGAUAAGAUACACUUGACAUUCGAGUCGCGGCAUUCCAUUAUUAAAUUGUGUUUAAUGAUAGAGGAAAUAUCGAUAAAAUUCGCGUUUAGCGCUCUCUCUCUCUCUCUCUCUCUCUCUCUCUCUCUCUCUCUCUCGCUCGCUCGCUCGCUCGCUCGCGUAUUAAUCGUGCUUAUAAAAUGAGUAUGAUAUAAUAUAAUUAUCGCAAAGACACAAUUUCACGGAGCCUGCUGAUACGAGUGUCGCGACUUACAUAAUUAAUUAAUGAUGCGGGCGUGUGAAUAACCAACGCGAGACGAGUUUCAAUGACAACUUUUACAAUUGUUAAGUGGCUGCUACGUUAUAUUUUUUUGCGCUACAAGGCUAUUAUAGCGCUACGCAGAAUAGAUUUGCGACAUACACAUAGGAAAUUGAAUUACAGAAAUAAUGGUAUGGAAUAUUUUUCACUGGUGACUAUAAAUUCGCAUUUAAACUCUACGCACAAUAAUAUCGCACUCUUGCUUCAAAAGUGUCACAACUCAAAACUUACAACUUUUCACAAAGCACAGAAAAUUGUUUUUGAUCAUACUAACACAUUAUUAACUGCUAUCACUAAAAACGAUAGAACUUAAAAUACUAUAGUUUCAAACUUCCUAACAACGACCUGUUAACUAUGAGAUACACAACACAACUGAUAAUACAACACUAUUGUUACUGGCAACACAAUCUCACUCGGAAUAUUAAGAGAGACAUAACUGCCCUUUGGCGGCAAUCUAAGAAUAAAAAACAAAUGCACUUUAGAUGAUCGGUCGAGUAGGGUUUUCGAAAUUGUUUCAUAGUAUUAAUUUGAAAUUCGAAAUUUUUGAGUUGUGACACUUUUGAAGCAAGUGUGCGAUAUGCAUUGAUCGAAAUGGAAAUAUUAUUUAAAUAGGUAAUUAACACUUUCACUGCGGGGCCUCUCGGGCAAGAACUUUGGUUGCGAACGAGCACUUUUCGCGUUAGUUAUGAUAGGUAUGACUCAUGAUAGUUAUGAUAUGCUAUUUCGUACCGACAUACAAAUCCGUUUUUUGCACGUGUCCCGCAAUCAAACAACGAUAUGCGAAUUUUAUUUUUACGUGCUCACUACCGACGUAAUGUACAAAAAAUAUAUUUUUACGUAACCAGACAACAAUGUGUUAAUAUAGAUGAGUUCUUCCUUCUUCCCUUCUUUUCUUCUUGGAAGGAAUAAUUUUCUUCACUUACUGCGUCAUGUUUUCGAGAGGAGAUUUGUCAAUUAUAUGAAAAAUGGACGAAGGUUAUCAAAAAUGAUGGCGAAUAUUUCGAAGAUUAAGAUAUAUAUUCUUUAAAUUAACGUUUAAUUUCUUUAAAAAAGGCACCAAAUUAACUUGUACAGUGGAUAUUGACUAUCCAACUGCCAAUUAUAUCUUUAUAAUUAUGCCGUAAUUGUUUACUUCAUUAAUAAUAAAUUAAAAAUUUCUGAUUAAUUCACGAUCAAUUAAUGGUUCUACGCGUCUCCAAGAUAAAUUACUGUAUUUUAAUUAUUUCUUACAUAACUGUAUCAAGUCGAUUGUCAUAGUGCAAACGUUUAAAAUAAACUAUUAUGUAUGAUAAGAAUUAACGAGUCGCGAUGUUUUUCUUUCGUUUAAGAGAUAUUUUCUCAAGUUUCAACAUGUUACAUGGGUCGGUUUUAUCUGCGCGUUUCAUUCUCUGUGAAAAGAAUUUAUGUUUAUCCUUCAGUAUUUCAUCGCAUUGUAUUCAAGAGGUAUUGUAUACAGUUAAUCUCAAUCUGAUGAAAAUUAAUCAUCAAUUAUUUGAGUCAAUUAUUUAUUAGGCUAUUUCUAGCCUGUCGAUACUUUACCCAUGAAAAAAGGACAGAUUCCAAAACUGCAAUUAUAAACAUUUUGUAUAUACAUAUAUCAAAGUAAUUAUUAUGCCAAAUGUUAUUAUUGACAAUAUUGCGAAAAAUAUUUUUCAAACUGUAUUAAUUAAUCAGAAAAUCGCACGAUGACUUAAUCUUCUGAUACGACACAGAAUUUUUCACUCCUUGACAACGAUAAUCAUCACGUCAUAGUACAGAAAUAUUUUAUAUCGAGAAGUAGCAGACUGUUGCGACAUUGUUCCAUGAAAUAAUGCAAUCUUAUGAUUUCAAGCGAAAUCAAGAAGUCUUUUCAGAGAUUAUUUUUAAACAAUGUGUGAUAACUGUUGUAUAUCACAGUAUGUGUGUCAUUAUAUUAAACGCACACGCGCAAAAACAUUUCGAUGAGUGCUAAUC